rnacentral:lncRNA from 1 species
CAUAAUCAGCGCUGGGAUGAUAAAGUGAAACAUCUGUAUUAAUUAAUUAAAGUUUGGAGUUUGAAGCUUAACUUUCCUAUGGGGCAUAAGGGGAAUCAGUUACUCCUGAAGCAAUUGGGUUCCUCUCUGCUGUUGGGGUCUUUAUAGUUCUCCUUGCAGUCCUCUCCCUCUUCAUCAACAAGAAGCUCUGUUUUGAAAAGAUUGGAGGUCUUCCUUGCUUGGAGCAACAGGGGAAGCACAAGCACUACAAAGAAAAAUCUGGGGUUCGGGAGGGUCUUGCUCACAGAGCACUGAAUCUGAUACACUGGCAAAGAGGAACAGCUGGAAUUUAUGAC